CUCGUAGGCGGCCAACUAAGUCGGACGUGAAAUCCCUCGGCUUAACCGGGGAACUGCGUCCGAUACUGGUUGGCUUGAGUUUGGGAGAGGGAUGCGGAAUUCCAGGUGUAGCGGUGAAAUGCGUAGAUAUCUGGAGGAACACCGGUGGCGAAGGCGGCAUCCUGGACCAAUACUGACGCUGAGGAGCGAAAGCCAGGGGAGGCAAACG
rnacentral:rRNA from 1 species